AACAGGGNAUUGUCUUAGUAACGGCGAGUGAAGCGACAAAAGCUCAAAUUUGAAAUCUGGCACCUUUGGUGUCCGAGUUGUAAUUUGAAGAAGGUAACUUUGAUGCUGGCUCUUGUCUAUGUUCCUUGGAACAGGACGUCACAGAGGGUGAGAAUCCCGUGCGAUGAGAUGCCCAGUAUCAUGUAAAGUGCUUUCGAAGAGUCGAGUUGUUUGGGAAUGCAGCUCUAAGUGGGUGGUAAAUUCCAUCUAAAGCUAAAUAUUGGCGAGAGACCGAUAGCGAACAAGUACAGUGAUGGAAAGAUGAAAAGAACUUUGAAAAGAGAGUGAAAAAGUACGUGAAAUUGUUGAAAGGGAAGGGCUUGAGAUCAGACUUGGUAUUUUGCGACCUUUUCCCUCGUGGAAGGGGCCCCCGCAGUUUACUGGGCCAGCAUCAGUUUGGAUGGCAAGAGAAUGGCAUUGGAAUGUAGCUCUACCUCGGUGGAGUGUUAUAGACUUUGCAGAUGUUGCCUAUCUAGACUGAGGACUGCGUCUUUUGACUAGGAUCCUGGCCUAAUGAUCU
rnacentral:rRNA from 1 species